GUACUGCUGAGGAGUCCCACAAAUGGACGAAACGGCCGUCCAGUUU
rfam:Schistosoma rodhaini strain Burundi genome assembly, scaffold: SROB_scaffold0006391